rnacentral:rRNA from 1 species
UACAGAGGGGGCAAGCGUUAUUCGGAAUUAUUGGGCGUAAAGGGCGCGUAGGCGGUUUUUUAAGUUCGGAUGUGUAAUCCCCGGGCUUAACCUGGGAACUGCAUCCGAGACUGGAAGACUAGAGUACUGGAGAGGGUGGUGGAAUUCCUCGUGUAGCGGUGAAAUGCGUAGAGAUGAGGAGGAACACCAGUGGCGAAGGCGGCCACCUGGACAGUAACUGACGCUGAGGCGCG